GUAGGCGACGUACCCUUCGGUCGGGGAUAGCCACGGGAAACUGUGGGUAAUACCCGAUAAUCUCUGGGAGCGUGAUAGUUUCCAGAGCAAAGGCGUGAUUUCACCGGAGGAGCGGCCUGCUUCGUAUUAGCUAGUUGGUGAGGUAACGGCUCACCAAGGCGACGAUGCGUAGGGGGUGUGAGAGCAUGACCCCCACCACUGGGACUGAGAUACUGCCCAGACACCUACGGGCGGCUGCAGUCGAGAAUCUUCGGCAAUGGGCGCAAGCCUGACCGAGCGACGCCGCGUGUGGGAUGAAGGCCCUUGGGUUGUAAACCACUGUCAGAGGGGAUGAAGUGCAUGAGGGCAAUCUCUCAUGUUUGACAUAGCCUCAGAGGAAGCACGGGCUAAGUUCGUGCCAGCAGCCGCGGUAAUACGAACUGUGCGAACGUUAUUCGGAAUCACUGGGCUUACAGGGUGCGUAGGCGGCUUGUUAAGUAGGGUGUGAAAGCCCCCGGCUCAACCGGGGAAUUGCGCCCUAAACUGGCGAGCUA
rnacentral:rRNA from 1 species